UACAGAGGUCCCAAGCGUUGUUCGGAUUCACUGGGCGUAAAGGGUGCGUAGGUGGUCGGGUAAGUCUGAUGUGAAAUCCCUCAGCUUAACUGGGGAACUGCGUCUGAGACUGGCAAGCUUGAGUGCAGGAGAGGAACGCGGAAUUCCAGGUGUAGCGGUGAAAUGCGUAGAUAUCUGGAGGAACACCGGUGGCGAAGGCGGCGUUCUGGACUGUAACUGACACUGAAGAACGAAAGCCAGGGGAGCAAACGGG
rnacentral:rRNA from 1 species